rnacentral:rRNA from 1 species
AGAGUUUGAUCAUGGCUCAGAUUGAACGCUGGCGGCAGGCCUAACACAUGCAAGUCGAACGGUAACAGGAAGCAGCUUGCUGCUUUGCUGACGAGUGGCGGACGGGUGAGUAAUGUCUGGGAAACUGCCUGAUGGAGGGGGAUAACUACUGGAAACGGUGGCUAAUACCGCAUAACGUCGCAAGACCAAAGAGGGGGACCUUCGGGCCUCUUGCCAUCAGAUGUGCCCAGAUGGGAUUAGCUUGUUGGUGAGGUAACGGCUCACCAAGGCGACGAUCCCUAGCUGGUCUGAGAGGAUGACCAGCCACACUGGAACUGAGACACGGUCCAGACUCCUACGGGAGGCAGCAGUGGGGAAUAUUGCACAAUGGGCGCAAGCCUGAUGCAGCCAUGCCGCGUGUAUGAAGAAGGCCUUCGGGUUGUAAAGUACUUUCAGCGGGGAGGAAGGUGUUGUGGUUAAUAACCGCAGCAAUUGACGUUACCCGCAGAAGAAGCACCGGCUAACUCCGUGCCAGCAGCCGCGGUAAUACGGAGGGUGCAAGCGUUAAUCGGAAUUACUGGGCGUAAAGCGCACGCAGGCGGUCUGUCAAGUCGGAUGUGAAAUCCCCGGGCUCAACCUGGGAACUGCAUUCGAAACUGGCAGGCUUGAGUCUUGUAGAGGGGGGUAGAAUUCCAGGUGUAGCGGUGAAAUGCGUAGAGAUCUGGAGGAAUACCGGUGGCGAAGGCGGCCCCCUGGACAAAGACUGACGCUCAGGUGCGAAAGCGUGGGGAGCAAACAGGAUUAGAUACCCUGGUAGUCCACGCCGUAAACGAUGUCUACUUGGAGGUUGUGCCCUUGAGGCGUGGCUUCCGGAGCUAACGCGUUAAGUAGACCGCCUGGGGAGUACGGCCGCAAGGUUAAAACUCAAAUGAAUUGACGGGGGCCCGCACAAGCGGUGGAGCAUGUGGUUUAAUUCGAUGCAACGCGAAGAACCUUACCUGGUCUUGACAUCCACGGAACUUUCCAGAGAUGGAUUGGUGCCUUCGGGAACCGUGAGACAGGUGCUGCAUGGCUGUCGUCAGCUCGUGUUGUGAAAUGUUGGGUUAAGUCCCGCAACGAGCGCAACCCUUAUCCUUUGUUGCCAGCGAUUAGGUCGGGAACUCAAAGGAGACUGCCAGUGAUAAACUGGAGGAAGGUGGGGAUGACGUCAAGUCAUCAUGGCCCUUACGACCAGGGCUACACACGUGCUACAAUGGCGCAUACAAAGAGAAGCGACCUCGCGAGAGCAAGCGGACCUCAUAAAGUGCGUCGUAGUCCGGAUUGGAGUCUGCAACUCGACUCCAUGAAGUCGGAAUCGCUAGUAAUCGUGGAUCAGAAUGCCACGGUGAAUACGUUCCCGGGCCUUGUACACACCGCCCGUCACACCAUGGGAGUGGGUUGCAAAAGAAGUAGGUAGCUUAACCUUCGGGAGGGCGCUUACCACUUUGUGAUUCAUGACUGGGGUGAAGUCGUAACAAGGUAACCGUAGGGGAACCUGCGGUUG